rnacentral:rRNA from 1 species
GAACCUGCGGAGGGAUCAUUACACAAUAUGAAGGCGGGCUGGACACCUCUAGCCGGGCACUGCUUUACGGCGUGCGCGGCUCGGGCCGGCCCUGCUGAAUUAUUCACCCGUGUCUUUUGCGUACUUCUUGUUUCCUGGGUGGGCUUGCCCACCAUCAGGACCAACGAUAAACCUUUUGUACUAGCAAUCAGCGUCAGUAACAACGUAAUGAAAUUACAACUUUCAACAACGGAUCUCUUGGUUCUGGCAUCGAUGAAGAACGCAGCGAAAUGCGAUACGUAGUGUGAAUUGCAGAAUUCAGUGAAUCAUCGAAUCUUUGAACGCACAUUGCGCCCUUUGGUAUUCCAAAGGGCAUGCCUGUUCGAGCGUCAUUUGUACCCUCAAGCUUUGCUUGGUGUUGGGCGUCUUUUGUCUCCCGUUCGCUGGAGACUCGCCUUAAAGUCAUUGGCAGCCGGCCUACUGGUUUCGGAGCGCAGCACAAGUCGCGCUCUUGGCCAGCCAAGGUCGGCGUCCAGCAAGCCUUUUUUUUCUUCAACCUUUGACCUCGGAUCAGGUAGGGAUACCCGCUGAACUUAAGCAUAUCU